CAGCAGCUGUGUGAGUGGGUGUGCUGCUCCAUUAAGCAGGGGCUGCUCUGCUGCCGAAGAGCAUUUAUAGCCAAAGCACCAGCACUACUGGGUGUGCAGGCUCAGAGAAAGUUAGUGGCCUAAAAAGGAAGAGCUGUCUAAGGGCCAAGCUGCUUCUGCUGCACUGCUCUCCAUGGAAGGAUGAGAAAAGACCACAGCCCCAGGGCACGCUGCUUGCCUCGUGGUUUUACUUCAUGCUAUGCAGAACUAAGCUGGUCCUCCUGCGGUUCCUCCCUCCUCAGCACUGUUUCCUCUUCACUCUUGCAUCAACACUGAUCCUUCUCUGAUGUCAUUUCAGGGAGUUCCGCAUGGGAGGAGCUGUCUGUGAAGCACAGGCCAUUUUCUGAUCCCUGACCUGCAAACUGAUCUAAACAGAGCAACGCUUUUGUGGAGCUUCAUUUAACCUGUGUGAUCCACACUGCACUCUUAAUACCCCACAAAAUAUCUCCAGCAGUAAAGCUACACAGAACGCAGAGCAAGGCUGAUACGAAUUUUUAAUUUUCGUGGAAGAGCUGUCAAGAUCCACCGUGCUCACACCGUGCUCACACCACGACAGAGACAGAUGUGCAGAUGCAGACUUUCCUAAAGCCCCCUGGGAUCCUGGCUUACAGGCCCCACAAAGCCCUGAGCCACACAGCUCCCUGCAGGCACACAGGCCCCGCUGACCCACUUCUCCGCGCUCCAGGGGCGCACACAAGCGUGCGCUCACACACGUGCCCGCUCACAAGCUCCACAACCCCUCGACUUCCCCAUCCCGCACCCGAGGAAGCGCCGUCCCAAUUUCCCUGUUUACCCCCUCAGGUGCGCGUCCCCCCGCCCCACAUGUCAG